GCGGUGAAAUGCGUAGAGAUUAGGAAGAACACCAGUGGCGAAGGCGCUCUACUGGACAUGUACUGACACUGAGGGACGAAAGCUAGGGUAGCGAAAGGGAUUAGAUACCCCUGUAGUCUUAGCUGUAAACGAUGGAUACUAAGUGUAGCGGGUAUAAACUCCGGCUGUGCUGAAGCAAACGCGUUAAGUAUCCCGCCUGGGGAGUACGCACGCAAGUGUGAAACUCAAAGGAAUUGACGGGGACCCGCACAAGCGGUGGAGUAUGUGGUUUAAUUCGAUGCAACGCGAAGAACCUUACCAAGACUUGACAUCCGAUGAAUCUUUUUGAAAGAAGAGAGUGCCUUAGGGAACAUCGUGACAGGUGGUGCAUGGCUGUCGUCAGCUCGUGUCGUGAGAUGUUGGGUUAAGUCCCGCAACGAGCGCAACCCUCGUCCUUAGUUGCCAGCAUUAAGUUGGGGACUCUAGGGAGACCGCCGGGGAGAACUCGGAGGAAGGUGGGGAUGACGUCAAGUCAGCAUGCCCCUUACGUCUUGGGCUACACACGUACUACAAUGGUUGGGACAAAGGGAUGCGAGACCGCAAGGUGGAGCGAAACCCAUCAAACCCAGCCCCAGUUCAGAUCGUCGGCUGAAACUCGCCGACGUGAAGGAGGAAUCGCUAGUAAUCGCAGGUCAGCAUACUGCGGUGAAUCCGUUCCCGGGUCUUGUACACACCGCCCGUCACACCAUGGAAGUUGGUAACAUCCGAAGUCGUUACUCCAACCAUUUAUGGAGGAGAUCUCUGGACUAGUGACUGGGGUGAAGUCGUAACAAGGUAGCCGUACCGGAAGGUGUGGCUGGAUCACCUCCUUAUAAGGGAGACCGCAAAAUGUGGUCAGCAAGGAAUGUGGAGAAUGGUUUUCAAACUAGAGAUUGGGUUCAUGGGCUAUUAGCUCAGGUGGUUAGAGCGCACCCCUGAUAAGGGUGAGGUCCCUGGUUCAAGUCCAGGAUGGCCCAUAAGUGGGGGUAUAGCUCAGUUGGUAGAGCGCCUGCUUUGCAAGCAGGAUGUCAGCGGUUCGAGUCCGCUUAUCUCCA
rnacentral:precursor_RNA from 1 species